UACGGAGGAUCCGAGCGUUAUCCGGAUUUAUUGGGUUUAAAGGGUGCGCAGGCGGGAGAUUAAGUCGGCGGUGAAAUUUUGCAGCUCAACUGUAAAAGUGCCUUCGAAACUGGUUUCCUUGAGUGUAGAUGAAGUAGGCGGAAUUUGUGGUGUAGCGGUGAAAUGCAUAGAUAUCACGAGGAACUCCGAUUGCGCAGGCAGCUUACUAAACUACUACUGAAGCUCUGGCACGAAGGCGUGGGGAUCAAACAGGAUUAGAUACCCUGGUA
rnacentral:rRNA from 1 species